CAGUAGCCACGGUAAUGCGAAGGUCCCGAGCGUUGUUCGGAAUCACUGGGCGUAAAGGGAGCGUAGGCGGCGUGUAAGUCAGAUGUGAAAUCCCGGGGCUCAACCCCGGAACUGCAUCCGAUACUGCCGUGCUAGAGGAUUGGAGAGGUAGCUGGAAUUCUUGGUGUAGCAGUGAAAUGCGUGGAGAUCAAGAGGAACACUCGUGGCGAAAGCGAGCUACUGGACAAUAUCUGACGCUGAGGCUCGAAGGCCAGGGUAGCGAAAGGGAUUAGAGACCCCGGUAGUCCCUGUCUCUUAUACC
rnacentral:rRNA from 1 species